rnacentral:lncRNA from 1 species
AUAGCCAUUUGACCCCCAAACUUUAAUUUAACCCCAAACUUUAUAUAAUUACACAAUUUCCCAUUUCUCAACUAUAAAUACCCCCUCAUUCUUUCAUUUUAAUUCACCAAUUCAUCAAUGUCUCUCAAUCUUUCUCAAUCUCUCUCAAGCUCUCUUUCAAUCUUUCUAGUACAAGUGCCUAAUUUAUUGUUGCAAAUUCGUAAAACAUUGUGAAGUUGUUGAAUUGAAGUUUUCAAGUGUUC